GAUGAACGCUAGCGGCAGGCUUAAUACAUGCAAGUCGUGGGGCAGCGCAGUGUAGCAAUACAUGGGCGGCGACCGGCAAACGGGUGCGGAACACGUACACAACCUUCCGAUAAGUGGGGAAUAGCCCAGAGAAAUUUGGAUUAAUACCCCGUAACAUAGUGAUGUGGCAUCACAUUACUAUUAUAGCUACGGCGCUUAUCGAUGGGUGUGCGGCUGAUUAGAUAGUUGGCGGGGUAACGGCCCACCAAGUCUACGAUCAGUAGCUGAUGUGAGGGCAGGAUCAGCCACACGGGCACUGAGACACGGGCCCGACUCCUACGGGAGGCAGCAGUAAGGAAUAUUGGUCAAUGGACGCAAGUCUGAACCAGCCAUGCCGCGUGAAGGAUUAAGGUCCUCUGGAUUGUAAACUUCUUUUAUCUGGGACGAAAAAAGGCGAUUCUUCGUCACUUGACGGUACCAGAUGAAUAAGCACCGGCUAACUCCGUGCCAGCCGCCGCAGUAAGAC
rnacentral:rRNA from 1 species